rnacentral:siRNA from 1 species
CAUACCCUUUCUUUCUCAUGUCU